rnacentral:pre_miRNA from 1 species
CGGGGGAGGCCAGAUCCUGGGCUGUGUCCCUGGCGCCCUGUGCUCCGGGGCCUGCGCUGUUGGAUUCACGCUCCCCACCACGCAGCCCCCU